rnacentral:rRNA from 1 species
AUUGAACGCUGGCGGCAUGCCUUACACAUGCAAGUCGAACGGUAACGGGUCCUUCGGGAUGCCGACGAGUGGCGAACGGGUGAGUAAUAUAUCGGAACGUGCCCAGUAGUGGGGGAUAACUGCUAGAAAGAGCAGCUAAUACCGCAUACGACAUGAGGGUGAAAGGGGGGGAUGGCAAGACCUCUAGCUAUUGGAGCGGCCGAUAUCAGAUUAGCUAGUUGGGGGGGUAAAGGCCUACCAAGGCAACGAUCUGUAGAUGGUCUGAGAGGACGACCAGCCACACUGGGACUGAGACACUGCCCAGACUCCUACGGGAGGCAGCAGUGGGGAAUUUUGGACAAUGGGCGCAAGCCUAAUCCAGCAAUGCCGCGUGCAGGAAGAAGGCCUUCGGGUUGUAAACUGCUUUUGUCAGGGAAGAAAUCUUCUGGGCUAAUACCCCGGGAGGAUGACGGUACCUGAAGAAUGAGCACCGGCUAACUACGUGCCAGCAGCCGCGGUAA